rnacentral:rRNA from 1 species
UCAAGCUAAAAAGAGCGCAGGGUGGAUGCCUUGGCACUAAGAGCCGAUGAAAGACGUGAUAAGCUGCGAUAAGCUACGGGGAGGAGCACAUAUCCAUUGAUCCGUAGAUUUCUGAAUGGGGAAACCCGGCUGAGCAUACCUCAGUCACCGUACACUGAAUCCAUAGGUGUACGGAGGGAACCCGGUGAACUGAAACAUCUAAGUAGCCGGAGGAAGAGAAAGAAAACUCGAUUUUCAAAGUAGCGGCGAGCGAAAUGGAAAGAGCCCAAACCGGAGUGCGUGCACUCCGGGGUUCGGACUGCAUUUAUGACUUCUGACUGUAGCGGAACGGUUCUGGAAAGACCGGCCAGAGAGGGUGAGAGCCCCGUAGGCGAAACGGAAAGAAGCAGAGCAGGAUCCAGAGUACCACGAGACACGAGAAACCUUGUGGGAAUGAGCGGGGACCACCCCGUAAGGCUAAAUACUCCUUAGUGACCGAUAGAGCAGAGUACUGUGAAGGAAAGGUGAAAAGGACCCCGGGAGGGGAGUGAAAGAGAACCUGAAACCCUGUGUUUACAAACUGUGGAAGUACCAUACGAGUACAACCGCGUACUUUUUGUAGAACGGUCCGGCGAGUUACGUUUACUGGCGAGGUUAAGCACUUAAGGUGCGGAGCCGAAGGGAUACCAAGUCUUAACAGGGCGCAUAGCUUCUUACGAAGCAUUAGUCAGUGUACGUAGACCCGAAACCGGGUGAUCUACCCAUGUCCAGGCUGAAGUUGCCGUAAAAGGCAAUGGAGGGCCGAACGCACAUCCGUUGAAAAGGGUGGCGAUGAGGUGUGGGUAGGGGAGAAAUUCCAAUCGAACCCGGAGAUAGCUGGUUCUCCUCGAAAUAGCUUUAGGGCUAGCCUCGUUUUAGUCUUAUGGAGGUAGAGCACUGAAUUUCCGCGGGGGCGUCAAAGCUUACCAAAGAAUAUCAAACUCCGAAUGCCAUGUAGAUGAUGAACGGGAGUCAGACUGCACGAGAUAAGUUGGGCAGUCAAAAGGGAAAGAGCCCAGACCGCCAGCUAAGGUCCCAAAGUGUGUGUUAAGUGGAAAAGGAUGUGGGAUUUCAAAGACAACUAGGAUGUUGGCUCAGAAGCAGCCACACAUUCAAAGAGUGCGUAACAGCUCACUAGUCGAGAGGUCCUGCGCCGAAAAUGUCCGGGGCUGAAACACAACACCGAAGCUGCGGAAUUGCGAAUGCAAUUGGUAGAGGAGCAUUCUUAAUACCGACGAAGCUGUACCGGAAGGAGCAGUGGAGGGAUAAGAAGAGAGAAUGCCGGAAUGAGUAGCGAGAGAGAGGUGAGAAUCCUCUCGGCCGAAUAUCCAAGGUUUCCAGAGUAAAGCUGAUCUGCUCUGGGUAAGUCGGGGCCUAAGGAGAGGUCGAAAGACGUAUCCGAUGGACAACAGGUUUAGAUUCCUGUACCACAUAUGAACAGAACUGUGGGGACGCAUGUGGAGAGCACGAGCCGGGAAUGGAAAUACCGGUACAAGCGGAGAAGGAGUCUGGUUGGCAAAUCCGCCAGGCAAUCCGAAGACGUGAUGUGGAGCGAAUUAGAGUAGCGAAGCGUGUGAGCCAUGUGCCGAGAAAAGCCGCUAUUGUUUCAUGUGUGCCCGUACCGUAAACCGACACAGGUGGAUGAGGAGAGAAUCCUAAGGCCGGCGGAAGAAGCAUUGUUAAGGAACUCGGCAAAAUGACCCCGUAACUUCGGGAGAAGGGGUGCCUGCUAACGCAGGCCGCAGAGAAUAGGCUCAAGCAACUGUUUAGCAAAAACACAGGUCUAUGCGAAACCGAAAGGUGAAGUAUAUGGGCUGACGCCUGCCCGGUGCUGGAAGGUUAAGAGGAGAGGUUAGCGCAAGCGAAGCUUUGAAUUUAAGCCCCAGUAAACGGCGGCCGUAACUAUAACGGUCCUAAGGUAGCGAAAUUCCUUGUCGGGUAAGUUC